UCCGAUUUGUCACCGGCGGUCUCCCUAGAGUGCCCAACUAAAUGAUGGCAACUAGGGACAAGGGUUGCGCUCGUUGCGGGACUUAACCCAACAUCUCACGACACGAGCUGACGACAGCCAUGCAGCACCUGUGUAUGCUUCCCUUGCGGGCUCGUCAGACUUUCAUCCUUCUACUAUAUGCAUGUCAAGGCCAGGUAAGGUUCUUCGCGUUGCAUCGAAUUGAGCCACAUACUCCACCGCUUGUGCAGGCCCCCGUCAAUUUCUUUGAGUUUUAAUCUUGCGACCGUACUUCCCAGGCGGCACGUUUAACGCGUUAGCUUCGCCACAAAAGGGGUCGAUUCCUUUUACAGCAAACGUGCACCGUUUACGGCUAGGACUAC
rnacentral:misc_RNA from 1 species